rfam:Nicotiana sylvestris Nsyl_contig75660, whole genome shotgun sequence.
AUGUCAAAGCUUGAUACGCACCUGAAUCGGCAACUACGUACAGACCAAUACAUAUGCCGAUCUGGGUUCGUAUCAAACUAUGAUAUAC